AGGAUUUCGGAUCGUUCUCUACACCCACCAAAUCAACUGGUUUCGGAAGUGCGCCAGCCUUCGGCAGUCCUCCAAGUUUUGGCGGAUCUCCAGCGUUUGGUGGGUCAGCGGGCUUUGGCUCCGCCCCUUCCUUCAGCAGUCCACUGGGCUCCUCCUCAGGGAAGGUGUUCGGUGAGGGAACCACAGCCGCCAACGUCGGCGGAUUCGGGUUCGCGUCUCCUCAGAGCGCGCCGUCCUUCGGCUCUCUGGCGGGUUCAAGCGCAGCGCCGUCAUUCGGCAGUCUGGUGUAGCAGCAGCAGCAGCAGCAGCCGCCGGGCUUCGGCGCUCAGAGCGGUGCUUUCUCUGGCUUCGGCUCGUCUGGAGGUUUUGGAGGUUUUGGGAACACCAGCACCAACCAGUAAGUGUUGUGUCAUUCACACACAUCCAUCAGUGCUCUGCUCACACAUUCACAUCUGAUGAUGUGUUCCAGGCCGUCGUCUCAGACGUUCAGCAGUUGGAGGAGUUGAUCGGCGGAUGCUGAUGUAAUCUGGUCUGCAGUUGUUUUAUAGUGUGUGCACAAGAUUGAAUGUGCCGUGACCACUCGUGUUCUUAGCGUGUGCUAAUGUCCUCCUGUUUUAUGUUCGGUGCAGUUUCUUCUGUUUUAACUGCACAAUGAAAAAUAAACACGUGAUGUUGACCAUA